rnacentral:rRNA from 1 species
CAGAUAAGGAGCUUGCUCCUUUGACGUUAGCGGCGGACGGGUGAGUAACACGUGGGUAACCUACCUAUAAGACUGGAAUAACUCCGGGAAACCGGGGCUAAUGCCGGAUAACAUUUAGAACCGCAUGGUUCUAAAGUGAAAGAUGGUUUUGCUAUCACUUAUAGAUGGACCCGCGCCGUAUUAGCUAGUUGGUAAGGUAACGGCUUACCAAGGCAACGAUACGUAGCCGACCUGAGAGGGUGAUCGGCCACACUGGAACUGAGACACGGUCCAGACUCCUACGGGAGGCAGCAGUAGGGAAUCUUCCGCAAUGGGCGAAAGCCUGACGGAGCAACGCCGCGUGAGUGAUGAAGGGUUUCGGCUCGUAAAACUCUGUUAUUAGGGAAGAACAAACGUGUAAGUAACUGUGCACGUCUUGACGGUACCUAAUCAGAAAGCCACGGCUAACUACGUGCCAGCAGCCGCGGUAAUACGUAGGUGGCAAGCGUUAUCCGGAAUUAUUGGGCGUAAAGCGCGCGUAGGCGGUUUCUUAAGUCUGAUGUGAAAGCCCACGGCUCAACCGUGGAGGGUCAUUGGAAACUGGGAGACUUGAGUGCAGAAGAGGAAAGUGGAAUUCCAUGUGUAGCGGUGAAAUGCGCAGAGAUAUGGAGGAACACCAGUGGCGAAGGCGACUUUCUGGUCUGUAACUGACGCUGAUGUGCGAAAGCGUGGGGAUCAAACAGGAUUAGAUACCCUGGUAGUCCACGCCGUAAACGAUGAGUGCUAAGUG